UCUUACGACUAUUCAAAACAAAAGUACUAAAUUACGUCCGAUAUUUGACGUUAAGUCGGUGAUGGUAUCGUCAGUAGUGUGGUGGGAGGCACAUGAUAAUAUGAUGUUCCGUAAUUC
rnacentral:rRNA from 1 species